UCGGAGGCUAAAAGGAUAAAAUCCGCUAUAAGCCCCGAUAUGCCGCUAUUAGCGUUAAAAUUGGCUAAAAUUUUAGCCGCUAAGCCUCUGUGCGGCUCAGACUUUUCAGCAAAUCGACCAAAUAUCCAUACCACAGCCCAACCCUAAGCCAAAUUUCCCCUUUCCUCUUCUCUCCUCGAACUAGAUAAGGACCAGCGACCUUGGCGGCGCGUGCAUCCCGGUCCGCGCGCGAUAGCUCCUGCUGCUGGCCGCGCUAGCUCACGCUCGGCGACGACCCAGGCCGCUCGUGGUGGCUGCCCUACCCCCUGCUCGGCCACGACCCACCUGCGCUUGCCGGCGGUUGCUCCCUCUCGGCCGCGACCCACCUACGCUCCCCGGCAACUUCACAAGCAACGACGCGGCCAAGGUGUUGGUAUAUCAAGCACUUCAUCAGUAUAACAGCUUGCACCAGUUCAGUUUCCUCAGAUGAAUAUGUGCUGCCCAAAUAUUGUUUUUCUUCAUGAUUUAGUAAAACCUCUAAAUGGCCAUAGCCGGCUAUAGCUAGGCUAUAGCCUUUUAUAGCUGCAAAAAAAUCUGCCGCUAAAUGCAAUAGCCCGCUAUUUAGAACUUUG